CGCGCCCGCUCCGGCCUUAACCCCCUCGACUCUCCCGCCCGCCCCCCGAACCCACGCGGGCCACGGAGGGGGUCAAGGAGGGGCCCGGCAUCCCGGCCGUCCUCUGCGCCUCCCGCUCCUGCACCGGGCCCUUCUCCUCCGCUCAGGCUCCGUUCAGCUCUGGGGGCUGCGUGUCCCGAGCAGGGAUGGAGAUUCGGGGAGCCAAGGCUUCCUCCUGCCCGCCCGUCGCUCACGCUAGGAUGGAAUCUUCUUCCAACAUUUUAGCUCCCUCGGAGGAUUCCCCACAGGCUGUCCCUGAGAGAAUAGGCAUUUUACUUUUCUAAGAAGACCAGAAGUUUCUGCUAAGAAAUGGUAGUAACUUUCCGGCUAGACUUACCUGCUCACGCACAUGCGGUUCCACGGUCCUGCAGAUUUUGAGAGCAGCUUUGACCAACCAGGCCAAGGCCUCCCUUGCUUAAAAAUGUUAAUGAACGGACUAGUGGCUCAACCAAAAUCUUGACGUCUAUGCCUCAGGCUGCCUGUUUUGCUUUGCAGUAUUUGAUUUGCAAUAUUUGAUACUUUUCAUACAUCUGUCCUGGCGUUGCCUACGCUCCCAAAUAGUGAACAGUGCCGAGAGAGCACAGCCCUCCUGCUACACACGAAAGUCAUGAAUCAGACUAUUUUUUAAAGGCACAAACUCAACAUUUUUAGAGCUUCAUCUAGAGCAAUCCUUGUUCCAAACAGACUCUAGGAUGGCAUGACAUGCGAAAGAUUGUCAAGGGUGUGAAAGAAGUAGUUCUUGGGCUGCAGGAGGGCCUUGGAAGCAAAAACAUUUCCAUCAUGGAUCCAACCGUGGGAACUUAACGCAUGGCCCUUCGUUGAAACUGUUACUUUUAUUAUGUCCUUGAAAAAACUAGCUGUUUUAUAAAAUUCUCAUGUCAGAUCUGUUUGGAAUACUGCCCUUAGUUUUCUAGGUAUUAUGUUUGGAGCUCACAUCUCAGAAACCCCAAUGUUCCCAAAUCAGGUCACGUCUAUCUCAUUCUCACCUUUGUUAUUUGAGGCCCACUGACACCUACACAGACACCAUACUGCUUACUCCUCAUUGAUAGCCUGUGCCAUUAACAAUUUAAUGAGCAAAGGCUUCUAAGCAAACCCAGUUUGGUGUCAUGAACACAUGAUAUAAUUUUAAAAUGUCUAGUUCUGUUAUAAUCAGGAAUGAUAGAAGAUUUCCCCUGCUUCUGAUAAAUUAAAUGAAAACUUCCUAUUCACAGGACUCUUACAAGAUUUGAGAAUGGGUAUCAUUUAAUUACAUAUCCUGUACUAAUUACUCUUUUCCUUCUAUGUUAAAGAAGAGUGUCCCCAAACAACACAUUGUGACUUUCUAGAAGACAAUUGAUGCCAGAUGAGAUUAGAAAUGCAGUUACUAUAGAUGAGAAUGUUUGAUUCACUUUACCUUUUGAGAAACACUCCCUCAAUAACUGUUCAUUGGAUUUUGAAAAGCAACAACCCAUGUGUCAUGAACAGGCAGUCCAGGUGCACAGAGGCAAGAUCUGUAACGAGAAACUGAAUUUCUGUAAGAUGUGGGAAACAUUCCAUCUCUCUCAGGUACCAGAGUCACAGAAGAUGCCAGUUGAACAGAAAGGGACUAGGGAGGGAGGUGGGAGGCUUAUCUGUCUGUGGACUAGCAUGGAGUGCUGUCAUUCCUCAUUUUUCUUGUUUCUACAAAUUGUAGCAGUCACUCCAAGUAUGUGACUUUGGACUUCUGCUGCUUCGAAAGGCCCAGUGGCUUUCCAACCAAAUCCUUAGACUCAAUCUAUUGAUGUGUUUGUCUAAUAAAUCCUUUUUUUGUAAUGAUUUCUCAUCUAA